AACGCGAAGAACCUUACCUACCCUUGACAUCCAACGAAGAUUGCAGAGAUGCGAUUGUGCCGAAAGGAACGUUGAGACAGGUGCUGCAUGGCUGUCGUCAGCUCGUGUUGUGAGAUGUUGGGUUAAGUCCCGUAACGAGCGCAACCCUUAUCUUUAGUUGCCAACACGUAAUGGUGGGGACUCUAAAGAGACUGCCGGUGAUGAACCGGAGGAGGGCGGGGACGACGUCAAGUCAUCAUGGCCUUUAUGGGUAGGGCUACACACGUGCUACAAUGGCCGGUACAGAGGGCAGCGAAAUCGCGAGAUGAAGCCAAUCCCGAAAAGCCGGUCGUAGUCCGGAUCGGAGUCUGCAACUCGACUCCGUGAAGUCGGAAUCGCUAGUAAUCGCGAAUCAGAAUGUCGCGGUGAAUACGUUCCCGGGCCUUGUACACACCGCAUAC
rnacentral:rRNA from 1 species